UACGAAGGGGGCUAGCGUUGUUCGGAAUCACUGGGCGUAAAGCGCACGUAGGCGGCGCGUUAAGUCAGGGGUGAAAUCCUGGAGCUAAACUCCAGAACUGCCUUUGAUACUGGCGCGCUCGAGUGGGGGAGAGGUUGGUGGAACUCCGAGUGUAGAGGUGAAAUUCGUAGAUAUUCGGAAGAACACCAGUGGCGAAGGCGGCCAUCUGGCCCAUUACUGACGCUGAGGUGCGAAAGCGUGGGGAGCAAACAGG
rnacentral:rRNA from 1 species